GAUGAACGCUGGCGGCGUGCCUAACACAUGCAAGUCGAGCGGCAGCGCGGGGUGCUUGCACCCUGUCGGCGAGCGGCGGACGGCUGAGUAACGCGUGGGAACGUGCCCCAAAGUGAGGAAUAACUGCCCGAAAGGGUAGCUAAUACCGCAUAUUAUCUUCGGAUCAAAGGAUUUAUCCGCUUUGGGAGCGGCUCGCGUCGGAUUAGGUAGUUGGUGAGGUAAUGGCUCACCAAGCCGACGAUCCGUAGCUGGUCUGAGAGGAUGACCAGCCAGACUGGAACUGAGACACGGUCCAGACUCCUACGGGAAGCAGCAGUGAGGAAUCUUCCACAAUGGGCGAAAGCCUGAUGGAGCAACGCCGCGUGCAGGACGAAGGCCUUCAGGUUGUAAACUGCUUUUAUAAGUGAGGAAUAUGACGGUAACUUAUGAAUAAGGAUCGGCUAACUACGUG
rnacentral:rRNA from 1 species